UGAGUGAACUGUCGGAACAAUAUUUGAGGACAGACAUUACAUCAUCUUGAAUAAGACGGCAAUCACUUAUACGUAUAUGGUGUCACUAACACCACAUUGCUUUACUCCGAGACCGGGAUAUGUGAUGUUACACUUUUCCAUGGACUAAAUGUCACGAACGGACCACAUGUUGAACUGUGGCAGCACAGCGAUGUGAACGGGGGCGCUGCAGUUGAGUGCUGCAAAAAGAAAUUCAAUUAUGAAAUUGAAAAGAUAGGAAAAAAUUGCAGUGUUAGAGAGAUCAACACGGAUUGCGGAACGUA